UACGUAGGGUUCAAGCGUUAAUCGGAAUUACUGGGCGUAAAGCGUGCGCAGGCGGUUCGGAAAGAAAGAUGUGAAAUCCCAGGGCUUAACCUUGGAACUGCAUUUUUAACUGCCGGGCUAGAGUAUGUCAGAGGGGGGUAGAAUUCCACGUGUAGCAGUGAAAUGCGUAGAGAUGUGGAGGAAUACCGAUGGCGAAGGCAGCCCCCUGGGAUAAUACUGACGCUCAUGCACGAAAGCGUGGGGAGCAAACAGG
rnacentral:rRNA from 1 species